ACGGGUGAGUAACACGUGGGUAACCUGCCUCAUAAAGGGGAAUAGCCUUUCGAAAGGAAGAUUAAUACCGCAUAAGAUUGUAGUACCGCAUGGUACAGCAAUUAAAGGAGCAAUCCGUUAUGAGAUGGACCCGCGUCGCAUUAGCUAGUUGGUGAGGUAACGGCUCACCAAGGCGACGAUGCGUAGCCGACCUGAGAGGGUGAUCGGCCACAUUGGGACUGAGACACGGCCCAGACUCCUACGGGAGGCAGCAGUGGGGAAUAUUGCACAAUGGGGGAAACCCUGAUGCAGCAACGCCGCGUGAGUGAUGAAGGUCUUCGGAUUGUAAAACUCUGUCUUCAGGGACGAUAAUGACGGUACCUGAGGAGGAAGCCACGGCUAACUACGUGCCAGCAGCCGCGGUAAUACGUAGGUGGCAAGCGUUGUCCGGAUUUACUGGGCGUAAAGGGAGCGUAGGUGGAUAUUUAAGUGGGAUGUGAAAUACUCGGGCUUAACCUGGGUGCUGCAUUCCAAACUGAAUAUCUAGAGUGCAGGAGAGGAAAGUAGAAUUCCUAGU
rnacentral:rRNA from 1 species